rnacentral:rRNA from 1 species
UACGGAGGAUGCAAGCGUUAUCCGGAAUUAUUGGGCGUAAAGCGUCCGCAGGUGGCUAUGUAAGUCUGCUGUUAAAGAGUGAGGCUCAACCUCAUAAGAGCAGUGGAAACUACAUGGCUAGAGUGCGUUCGGGGCAGAGGGAAUUCCUGGUGUAGCGGUGAAAUGCGUAGGUAUCAGGAAGAACACCGGUGGCGAAAGCGCUCUGCUAGGCCGCAACUGACACUGAGGGACGAAAGCUAGGGGAGCGAAUGGG